UACCUUCUGUUCCAACAAGCCUGAGACACUCACUCUGGCACCAAUCUCUGAAGUCUGUUGCUUCUGCAAGAAAAAAAAUAAAAAAAGCAUUUCAGGCAAAAGAAGUUUUUUUUGGGGGGGGGGAAGGAUCACAAAUCCAACAGCGGCUUACCUGAAUGAUUGGUCAUGACGUCUCUUUUCCCUUUUGAGGAAGCCUGGGCAGAGGCAGGUGAGGAUGAAAGAGAUCUAUCAGCAGGUCUGCCACCAACUGACUUUUGUCGGCUCAAUGAUCCAGA